GCACUGCUGAGGAGUCCCACAAUAGGAUGAAACGGUCGUCUAGUGA
rfam:Schistosoma curassoni strain Dakar, Senegal genome assembly, scaffold: SCTD_scaffold0000701